GGGUAGGUAAUGCGAAGUGGUCAACCGCUGCAGACUGUAAAUCUGCUGCCUUUAUGGCUUCGGGGGUUCGAAUCCCUCCCUGCCCA
rnacentral:tRNA from 1 species